GAUCAUGGCUCAGGAUGAACGCUAGCUACAGGCUUAACACAUGCAAGUCGAGGGGCAUCAGUUUGGUUUGCUUGCAAACCAAAGCUGGCGACCGGCGCACGGGUGAGUAACACGUAUCCAACCUACCUCAUACUCGGGGAUAGCCUUUCGAAAGAAAGAUUAAUAUCCGAUAGCAUAUACUUUCCCGCAUUGGGUUUUAUAUUAAAGAAAUUCGGUAUGAGAGUGGGAUGUCGUUCUAGUUUAGGUUUGGGG
rnacentral:rRNA from 1 species